AUGACGACAGAAAAACUGCCGACUGCCUUGCUACGCAAAACUGUAAUUGCCUGGAUUCAGACAACUGUGCGGAAUUCGCAGGAUGAAGCUCGCCGUUGUGUUUGUCGCCAUUUACGCACUGCAUGCCUUUGCACUUCCUGGUGUCUCAGCCUGCUCUAAUGAGGGCGGUUCACUUGGCCCUGCACCGCAAGGUGAAUGUGGAAAGCAGAGAUGCAAUGCUACAGUGGAUAACUGCGGUAACGUCGGAAGCGAUUGCUACUGUUGGAGGAGGGGCGACGUCGGCUACUAUUGUGCAUAGCACGCAAGCUGAUCGACAAACACUAGAGCAGUAUGGGGAGCGGGAUCUUACAAGGUAAUGUCAUCUGCAGUUAAGCUGAACUUCGUUUCUUGCAUGUAGUCGCCCUGUACGAUACGCGUGUGGAG